rnacentral:tRNA from 1 species
GGCUUCGUAGUUCAACUGGUAGAGCGCUUGCCGCGUUAAGGCAUGCUGUUCCUGUCGCUGGUUCGAAUCCAGCUGAAGCCU